UGUCCCCUGGCGGAGAAGCUUUGGCGGGAAUUCUGAAAGCCGCCGGGGGAGCGCGGGCAGCGGCCGGAGACCGUCUGACGUGAGCGCAGCGCCUGGCGAGGCGCGCAGCUGGCGGCUGAAACUCGCCUGGGUUGUGCGCAGAAGGCUGGGGCAGGCUAGUAGAGAAGUGGGGCGCAACCCAGGGGCGUUGGAGUCCGCGUGGGUCGCGCGCGCGUGCUAGUCCCACGGGCUGAAGUUGGAGCGCGCGGCCCGCGGGAGCCAGCAGCGCUGCGGCCGAGAUCAAGGAACCAGGAAGCUUCAAGAGGCAUGAGAUGUUGGGUUCCAGUAAGGCACUCAGAAGGAGGUUUGUGUUGCUCUAUCCUUCAACAAGUCUUCUCUAAAAUAUAACUGGAACAUUCUCAAUGAAAAGGACCACUGUCCCGAUAAGGACAUUUCUUUGCUGAGGCCUCAUUGGAAACAAGUUUAACUAAAGCAAGUAUUUUGAAAUGAAAAGGGUGGUAAGAUUUUUCACAACCGCCAAGGCCUCGAGGGAUGCUGAUUUGGAGGGGAUUUUUGGCCAUAACCAACAGUAAGAAAAGAAGUUCACAUCAGAGAGAAAGAAGGACAGACACAGAGAAUUGAACCAAGGAUCACACGCAAAGAAACUCACUACAGAUGUAUUUGUUCAACAAGCAUCAUCAACCCAAUCAGUGACCCCAGUCUCCUGCUGGGUAAUACGCUUACCGAGAUAAAGCAGACAAGAAACUCAUCUGAUUAUGACCCAACAUGCUGAGUGUUACAGAUAAAAGAUCAGUAAUAACUUUGGCACAACGAAACAGAAAUGUUAAGUCAGGAGGUAACUGGAUGACUUAAAACUGAUGAUGGAAAGCUUUGCUGUGAGUGAAAAUUAAAUAAACUUCAAAUUACCUGGGUACAGUGGCUCACACCUGUAAUCCCAACACUCUGGGAGGCUGAGGUGGGUGGAUCACUUGAGGUCAGGAGUUUGAGACCAGCCUGGCCAACAUGGUGAAACUCCAUCUCUACUUGUAAUACAAAAAAAUAGCCGGGCACGGUGGCAGGCGCCUGUAAUCCCAGCAACUCGGGAGGCUGAGGCCUGAGAAUUGCUUGAACCUGGGAGGUAGAGGUUGCUAUGAGCUGACAUUGCACCGUUGCACUCCAGCCUGGCGACAGAAUGAAACUGUGUCUCAAUAAAUAAAUAAACAAACUUUAAAUUACUAUCUUUUCUCUUAGAGAUAGAGACGGUCUUGCUCUGUUGCCCAGGCUAGAAUGAAAUGGCAUGAUCAUGGCUCAUGCAGCCUUGACAUCCUGGGCUCAAGCAAUUCUCCCACCUCAGCCUCCCAAGUAGCUGGGAUCAUAGGUGUCCACCACCAUACCUGACUACUUUUUUUUUUUUGGUAGAGACAGAGUUUUGUCAUGUUCCCUGGGCUGGUUGUGAACUCCUGGCUCAAACGAUCCUCCCUCCCAAUCAUUCAUCACUUUGGUUGCCAGUCACCACAAGUGUGAGUAAAGCAUGUCAGAUCAUCCAUUUAGCCAGCACACUUGGACUCCCAGAGUGCUGGAAUUAUAGGUGUGAGCCACUGUGCCUGGCCAAAGUACUAUAUUUCUAAGGAUGUAGUUUUUACAGUUUGGGAAUGUUUGGGCAGCUUCUGUAUAGUCAUAAAUGUUUUUCUUCAAUCAGACAAUAAGAGAGACAUAGAAGCUUCUUUCCAGUGAUAAUGCACUACUGAUUUUAAAAGCACUCCUAUAGUAAGUGUUUAAGUUAUAGCUUGAAGAUGUUUGUCGCAGUGUUGUAUACAGUAGUGAAAAGUCGGAAAUGACACAAGCUCAUGUUCAAUACGCUAUGACACAGGUACACCAGAGAUCACCAGACAGCCAUCCACAAACAAGUUCUAAAAGGGUUAAUGAGUUGAAAAGAUAUUCAUAUUUUGACAAACAGAAAAAAGAAAUACAAAUAUUUCAAUAUAUAUAAUACAUAUAUAGUUAGUUAAUGGUUCUUUUUUUCCCCCAGAAGUUGAUUUUGAAGAUAUUAUUGAUGAAUUUACUUCCAUUAAAACCAGGAAAGCGCUGGGCAUGGUGGUGUGCACCUGUAAUCCCACAUACUCGGAAGGCUGAAGUGGGAGAAUGGCUUGAUCCCAGGAGGUCAAGGCUGCAGUGAGCCAAGAUGGCGCCACUACAUUCCAGCCUGGGAAACAGUAAGAAUCUGACUCCAAAAAUAAUUAAAAAGUUAUUUUAAAAUCUUACAAAAAUUUAAACACAAACAGGAAAUUAAAAUUUUAAUAAUUUUGAUUUGGGGAUACAUAAAACACUUAAACAAUGUUUUAAAUUCUAAUAUACUUUCCAGUUUUUCAAUAUUUUUUCAGCUAAUGUUUUGGGAUGCAAAGCAUGUUGUACAUGGUCAGUAAAUCUUUCAUGAGUGAAUGGAUCUGUGUUUUCUUGCACAACAUAAAUUAUUCAGAUUAUAAGAAGGCAAACUUAUUUCAUGUUGUAUUUAUGGGAUUAGAGAACCAUGCAGUUUAUACUGUGUCUCCUCCCUCCCUCUAGUGGAGAUGAAUGAGAGACCACAGGGGUAAAAGAAUGGCAAGUGUAGUUUGAUGAUAGUAAGAAAUCUAACUCCCUGGCCAGGCGCGGUGGCUCACGCCUGUAAUCCCAGCACUUUGGGAAGCCAAGGUAGUCAGACCACUUGAGGUCAGGAGUUCGAGACCAGCCUGGCUAACAUGGUGAAACCCCCGUCUCUACCAAAAAUAAUGAUUUUUAAUCCGUAACAAUUGUGCAAAUUUAUGACGUACAGGUGGAAUUUUGAUACAUGCAUACAAUAUGUAAUAAUUGAAUUGUUGAUGGUCAUAAUGUGACCUCUGUUUGUCUCCUUAGUUUAAACGAAUUUAAACAAGAGACACAUAGCAAAGGAGAUGCAGCAGUGGGUAGCCUAUUGCAAAGGAAAAGGAAUAUUUUGAAAGUUAACAGACAGGGCCCAGUGGCUCACACCUGUAAUUCCAGCACUUUGGGAGGCUGAGGAGGGCGGAUCACCUGAGGUCAGAAGUUUGAGACCAGCCUGGCCAACAUAGUGAAAUCCUGUCUCUACUAAAAAAUACAAAAAUUAGUUUGGCACCUGUAAUCCCAGCUACUCAGGUGGUUGAGGCAGGAGAAUCACUUGAACCCAGGAGGUGCGGGUUGCAGUGAGCUGAGAUCGUGCCAUUUCUCUCCAGCCUGGGAGACAGAGCAAGACUCCAACUCAAAAACCAACAAAUAAUAAUAAUUAAUUCUUCACCAGACAGUCAAAUGACCUAUGCUUAAUGCUUUCCAGUGACAGGAAGUCAUCCCCAAAGCAGCCUGUUUGAUAUAGACAGAUAAUAGAUAGUUAGGGCCAGACGCAGCAGCUCACACCUAUAAUCCCAGCACUUUGGGAGGCUGAGGGGGGCAGACCACCUGAGGUCAGGGGUUCCAGACCAGCCUGGCCAACAUGGUGAAACCCCCAUCUCUGCUAAAAAUACAAAAAUUAGUCGUGUGUGGUGGUGCAUGCCUAUAAUCCCAGCUACUUGGGAGGCUGAGUCAGGAGAAUAGCUUGAACCCAAGAGACAGAGGUUGAAGUGAGCUGAGUCGUGCCACUGCACUCCAGCCUGGGCAGCAAAGCUAAAUUCCAUCUCAAAAAAAAAAAAAAAAGAUGGAUAGAUAGAUCUAUUUAUUUACCUAAUUGUAUUUUUUUAGAACCAGUUUAGAUUUAUAGAAAUAUUGAGGUGAUAGUACAAAGGAUUUUCAUAUAUUUGGCACACAGGGUCUGCUUUUUUUUUUUUUUUUGAGACAGAGUCUCGCUGUGUCACCCAGCUGGAGCGCAGUGGUGCAACCUUAGCUCACUGCAACCUCCACCCUCCGAGUUCAAGUGAUUCUCCUUCCUCAGCCUCCCGAGUAGCUGGAGAGGCAUGCACCACCAAACCCAGCUAAUUUUGUAUUUUUAGUAGAGAAAGGGUUUUGCUAUGUUGACCAGGCUAGUCCUGAACUCCUGACCUCAGGUGAUCCAUCCCCCGUCAGCCUCGCCAGUUUUCUUUUCCUUUAGUGCUGUUUGUUUUUGAGAUAGGGUCUCACUCUGUCACCCAGGCUGGAGUGCAGAGGCACAAUUACAGCUCACUGCAGCCUUAAACUCUUGGGCUCAAGUGAUCCUUCCCGCUCAGCCUCCUCAGUAGCUGGGACUACAGGCACGUACCACCACACCUAGCUAAUUUUUUUUUUUUUUGGUAGAGAUGAUCUUGCCAUGUUACCCAGGCUAGUCUUGAACUCUUGCCUCAAGCAGUCCUCCUAACUUAGCCUCCCAAAGUGCUAGGAUUACAGGCAUUAGCCACAGCACCCACCACCUUGUUCUGUUCUUUGAGAGCGACACAGAAUGAUGUACUCAUCCUUCAGAUAUUUGAAAACAUCUAACAACCUAUCAUUUCAGCAUUUUCUUUCCUGGAUCCGCUACAUGGUUUCUUCAAUUCCUCUAAGUGUGGUAGAUUUUUAAGUUUUUGUGUCUCCUGGAUCCAACACAGUUGUCACUAUUUCCAUGAAGUGCUGUAGAAAUUGACCAGCUCAUUCCCUUCUUCUCUCUAUCCUGUGACCGUUUUAGGAACAAGGAUACUGUUCCUAAGGCAGAUGAACAGAUUCUUACAGGAGCUCAAUACAGUAAUGACGAAAGAAGGAAGACAAAAAGGAGAAAAAGAAAAGGAAGGAACCACUUAAAUAAUAUUUAUGAAAUCUUGAUCCUUUUUAUCCUGCUAUGCCAUGGACAAAUGCUGAUUCUUUCUUUAAAAAGUCUAUAUGGGCCGAAUGCAGGGGCUUAUGCCUGUAAUCCCAGCAUUUGGGGAGGCCAAGGUGGGAGGAUCGCUUGAGCCCAGCAAUUUGAGACCAGCCUGGGCAACAUAGCGAGAUCCCAUCUCUAAAAAAAAAUAAUAAUAAUACAAAAAUUAGCUGGGCCUGGUGGUGAGUGCCUGUAGUCCCAGCCACUCCAGAGGCUAAGAUGGGAAGAUGGCUUGAGCCCAGGAGAGGGAGGCUGCAGAGAGCUGUGAUCAUGCCACUACAUUCCAGCCUGGGCGACAGAGCAACAUCCUGUCUUGAAAAAAAUAAAUUAUAAUACAAAUGAAAAUUCUCUGUGUUUUAAUGACUAAAUAUAAAUGUCUCAAAGUGGGACACACACUAAAAUAUGGGACAUGAAAUAUUUCAUAUAUACCGCUAAUAAAAAUUAUUUACUGUUUAUGAGAAAUUCAUA